GACGUAGGGGGCAAGCGUUGUCCGGAUUUAUUGGGCGUAAAGAGCUCGUAGGCGGUUGCGUAAGUCGGAUGUGAAAACUCAGGGCUCAACCCUGAGACGCCAUCCGAUACUGCGCUGACUCGAAUCCAGUAGGGGAGUGUGGAAUUCCUGGUGUAGCGGUGAAAUGCGCAGAUAUCAGGAGGAACACCCAUGGCGAAGGCAGCACUCUGGGCUGGUAUUGACGCUGAGGAGCGAAAGCAUGGGUAGCGAACAGG
rnacentral:rRNA from 1 species